AGUUAGGGCUGGGAAACAGCCGAGGAGGGAUACAGUAGCUAGAAGUCAUCUUGCCUCUCUGUAACGUCUUCACUGCCUGGUAGUAACAUCGUUCUCAAAUUCUCAGCAGGUGAACCAAAUGAAAUGGUCAACUAAAAGCCAACCAGGAGAGCGUCUGGCUGUUUUGGGGAAACUAUUCCUGACCUUAUUUUACCUAAAAAGCUGCUUGCUAUACCAGCAAAAACAUCACCAUGAACCAGCUCGCCCAAACUUCUCCAUGGAUGAGAUUACCCGGAAGACAGGAGUUCCGAUGCUUGUCUUGCUCUGAAUGUCUGCUUGUCACCUGCUUAGGGUUAUCGACUGUGAUUCUGGGAAUCAUUGUUCUUGUUCAGGACCCUUCUGACUCUGUGGUUUUCUCUACUGGAUUAACAAUGAUAGCCAUAGGUGCUUUUUUUAUUGUCCUUACUGGACUGACAGCCCUGUGCAUAGUUAGAGUCGAUGAGAACUUGGAGCAAAUCACAAGGCUGAGACUAGGAGGGACACGCAGAAGCAGAAGUCCCCCAGGAACUACAGAGCUGUCCACUGUUCAGACAGUGAUGGCCAGCACCGCACUGUAGCUGUACGUUAAACCCUGGAAUCUUCCUCUUUGGAACUAAGUCUCCUGAGCAUUGUUUUUAAAUACAAAUAAAGUCUGGCUUUUAA